rnacentral:rRNA from 1 species
UACGUAGGGUGCAAGCGUUAAUCGGAAUUACUGGGCGUAAAGCGUGCGCAGGCGGUCUGUUAAGACCGAUGUGAAAUCCCCGGGCUUAACCUGGGAACUGCAUUGGUGACUGGCAGGCUUUGAGUGUGGCAGAGGGAGGUAGAAUUCCACGUGUAGCAGUGAAAUGCGUAGAGAUCGGGAGGAACACCAGUGGCGAAGGCGGCCUUCUGGACCAAUACUGACGCUCAUGCACGAAAGCGUGGGGAGCAAACAGG